rnacentral:lncRNA from 1 species
UAUUCAAUGAUUACCAUGAUCAUUUAUUCAAUGUCAUUGUGGUCCCAGAUAGCCUUGGGGUCACUCAAUUGGUGUUAACCGUACAUCAUGUGUGGUUUAUAUCAUAUAUGAGUGGUGAGGCGCUGAUGCAACUCACCAAAGCAGCCAUGGAGAUGGAGGCUUAAAGAUUCCAAUGGGGCCAAUCACUAGAGCAUGUUCCAAUAAGCUCAAAGCUCAAUUGCAAAUCUUUAUACAAGAUUUGAUCUCACAAGAACUUCAAGAAAAUAUGCUGAUCAAGUGUGGAGAAGAGCUUAAGGAGAUGCCAAGAUACUUAUGCACAUUGGAGCAUACUUAGGCUGAAUUCACGAGCACAAGCCUCAUUCAAUGGGCUUAGUCUUAUGUAUCUUUAAUUAAUCGUAUGGACCCCUUUUAAUGUGUUUUGGACCUCAAUUGGGCUUUUGUUAAUUUUAAUUGUGAUUGGUCUUAGACCAAGUAGUUUAAUUGGGAUUUUUUAAAAUUGUUUUAUUACUUGUGUAUGGGCCUGAAAGUGGCAGCCCAUAUACUUAGGCCUUAGGGCAACUUAUUUUGUAACUUAUCAUUAGGGUUUGCUGCAAGAGAGGAAUAUAAAUAGCCUCCUUAGGUGAAAAAAAAGGAUUGAAUUUUAAGUUUAUGAAUAUUACGGUUGUUUGACUUUUCUUUUAAGGAGGAUUCAAAUUCACGUUUGUUUUACCUUAAGGAUUGGUUUGACUUAUCAAGUAAGUUAACUUGUAGCAUUAAUUCAAUUCUUAUGUCUUAUUCAAACUCUUUCUUACCAAUUUCUUGCUAUUUUCGGGGUGAAAGGCUUUAUUAGACUGAUUGAAUUUAGGUCUGGGAACAUUUAUUGAUUCGGAGGUGA